AGCGAACGCUGGCGGCAGGCCUAACACAUGCAAGUCGAACGAACCCUUCGGGGUUAGUGGCGGACGGGUGAGUAACACGUGGGAACGUGCCUUUAGGUUCGGAAUAACUCAGGGAAACUUGUGCUAAUACCGAAUGUGCCCUUCGGGGGAAAGAUUUAUCGCCUUUAGAGCGGCCCGCGUCUGAUUAGCUAGUUGGUGAGGUAAUGGCUCACCAAGGCUACGAUCAGUAGCUGGUCUGAGAGGAUGACUAGCCACAUUGGGACUGAGACACGGGCCAAACUCCUACGGGAGGCAGCAGUGGGGAAUCUUGCGCAAUGGGCGAAAGCCUGACGCAGCCAUGCCGCGUGGAUGAUGAAGGUCUUAGGAUUGUAAAAUCCUUUCACCGGUGAAGAUAAUGACUGUAGCCGGAGAAGAAGCCCCGGCUAACUUCGUGCCAGCCGCCGCAGUAAGAC
rnacentral:rRNA from 1 species